GAUGAACGCUAGCUACAGGCUUAACACAUGCAAGUCGAGGGGAAACGCCAUCGUAAUCUUGCUUUUGUUGUGCGUCGACCGGCGCACGGGUGAGUAACUCGUAUCCCACCUGCCCCUCACUUGUCAAUAACCUUGCGAAUGUAAUACUAAUACCCAUUUUCAUCCCACGAAGACAUCUGAAUGUGAUUAUAGUUUUAUCUGUUAUGGAUGGGGAUGCGUCUGAUUAGCUUGUUGGCGUGGUAACGGCCGACCAAGGCAACGAUCAGUAGGGGUUCUGAGAGGAAGGGCACCCACAAGGGAAAUGAGAAACGGACCAAACGGGGACGGGAGGGAGGAGUGAGGAAUAUUAGACAAGGAGGGAGAGCCUGAAAAAGCCAAGUAGCGUGCAGGAGGACGGCAAUAUGGGUUGUAAACUGCUUUUAAAAGGGAAAAAAGUGGGUAACGUGAGACUUUUUGAAUGUACCUAAUGAAAAAGGAACGGCUAAUUACGUG
rnacentral:rRNA from 1 species